ensembl:lncRNA
GUUACAACCAUCUGUUUUCCAGACUGUUAUCCUAAGUUACAAGAAAACUGAAGUUUUGAAUUUUCAUUGAACCUAAGAGGAUGUUUUAUUGAUAUUUGGACAACAAUGACAAAAAAAAAAAAACAACCCUCAAAAACAAAGGUCAAGUCAAUAACUAAGAACGGUUUUAACAGUACUUUGUGAUGAGUGGAUAUUGUAAGUGAAAACAUGACUAAUAGAGUUAUAAACUUUAGUACUUGAAUAUGCCUGUUUCACCUACAUUCUUGUAAAGGCCAUAAUCUUUGUCAUACUAUGUAAAUGCCACGGCAGCGUUCUUGAACUUACUGAGGAGUGCAGGAAAUCAAAGGGAAGUAAAGAAAGAAGCCGUUAGCAGAAGUGAAAAGAUUAAAACACCAGCUCUUCUGAGACAAGUACAAAUGAUGUAAAUAAAAAACCAGGGGUCAUGCAGCACCAGCUUUCUUAAUAAAAAGUUGUAAUUAAGAUAGAAAAUGUCACAAGAAAGGCUGCCUGCAUUUUUCCCUUUGAAAUGUGUUUCCAUUAUAUAUAUUUUUAAGAAUAAUGACAUAAAUAGAUCAUAAACUGUAUGGAACGCACUUGGAUCUUGUUCAUGCUCUGGAUUCCUGACUGAUAGCAUAGUUAACAGCAGCAGCUUCAGUUAUUAAAAUAUUCCUGACUCAGACAUACAUGCAAAUGCAUAUCUUUUAUUAUUAUUAUUAUUAUUUACCAACACAGUUUCUAAUUAUUUGCCUUAUGUCAGCUGAUAACUUAGAAUAUACACAGGACACAUUUCCCAAUUAAUCUAUCAGAACCCUGAAGCAAGAUCUUCUUUCUCAUGUAACAGCUGGCUUUUUCAAAAAAUGCAUGACCAUAACUGGAGCUAAAAACCUCGAAAAUACCUUGAAAACAGACUUUGUAAUACUGUGAACUAGAAAAUACUGUUAUUAAAGAAAAUAAUUUCCAGCCUAAAUAAUGCUAUUUCUGAUCAAGGAAAACAAUGGGCCAACAAAUUAACACCAAUGUCUCAAUAAGAAGACUGUGCCUUUAUGUUAUCAGAACACAGAUGCCAGAGUGCUUUAGAAGCUAGGGAGGUUUCCAUGCUUAAAAACUCUAAGUAGUCACACCUCUAAGGAAUUAAUUUGGUAUUUGCUGCUAAAACUGAUAAACAGAGAUGACAACAACUAUGACAUACGAAUAGGAUGCUUUGUACAACCCUCUGUAAAUAAAACUCAGCCAAUUUCCUUGUUUGUAAAUAGUCAUUUUUGGUAGCUCUAAUCAGGUUCUAACUGGCAAGUGUUGACCUGAGGAAGCCAAGCUGGAAAAGGUUUUAUCAGCUUCAUAACUGAAUUUCUUCUCAUGAUCAGAAAGAUGUACACACAUUUAUUCCAAAUCAGUAUGGAACAAUGAAUUUGAAGUCUGUCUUUACUCCAGGCCAACAACAGAAUUCUUUGUUCCGUUUCCCUUCAGUAUCCUAUGCUUAAAGCUAUAAGCUGCUCUGAGGAUAGUCUCUCAAUCUUUCCUGAUAAAACUUAUCAUAGAAUCAUAGAAUCCUCAGAGUUAGAAGAGACCUUUAAAGAUCAUCUAUUCCAACUCCUUGCAAUGAACAGGGACACCCCCAGCUAGAUCAGGUUGCUCAGAGCCUGGUCCAGACUGGCCUUGAAAGUCUCCAGGGAUGGGACAUCCACCACAUCUCCAGGCAAUGUGUGCCUCACCACCCUCAUUUGAUCACAUCCCACUGGCAAACCUCUGAGAAGACAAUGAAACACUCAUGCUAAAGGUACAAUAGGUGUGGUUACUGCUUGUGUGCUAACAGUGCUGUUGUUUUCUCUUUUUGGCAGGUGAAAAAAUAAUUGUGAAAAGACCUCUGCACAGCCACAAUUUCAAAAGACAGUAUUUUUUUUGCCUUAAUUUACACCGUAGAAUCUAAAUUUGGCGCUUGAAGUACCUUCAGCAACUUCUAAUGCAGAUUCACUCCUAAAUUUUAGGAGACAGAAAAUGAUGUUUUAUCACAGAUUAGUUGGUAGUUUCCCAUCUCCUGUUUUAAAGUCUGUCAAUCUGACCGUUUUUUUAUUAAUUUAUUCAGUAGCUAUGGUGACAGUUCAUCUCUGUCAAUCAGCAGCAAAGGUCUAAGCCAUACCUCUCUGAAAACAAUUCCAGAAAUACAAUGUUCUGUAGAUAAAACAAUUAUGAGACUGGAUUAACAUUAACAAAAUUAAUAUGUAUUCUCACAGUGAGAUUAUGCUCAUCUCCCUAUGACAUUUAUUUUUGCCAUCGCACAAGUGCACACAGUAAGAAAAUGAAACCAUCUGCACUGAGCAUUAGGAUCACACUACCCAAACCCAAGGAGAGAAGACUGAUGCUGGGAAAACAGGACAAAACAGAUGAAAUUUUAAAUGAUUUUUUCCUCUACUAAUAUUUCAUGCUGGUCUCCUUCACAGGAUUAGUUCCCAAAUAGCCUCUGACUACAUGAAUUGCUCCACAAAUUGUCUCACAGAGCCAUACAGUGUUAUCAUCAAAAAAUAUAUAUUUAAUAAUACAGCUAUCACAAUCAAAAUCUCGAGAAUUAAAAUCCUCCAUGAUCAAAGUUCUGGCUCUCUUGCAGACUUUUUUUCUUUUAAAUCAGCAAUACAUGUUGUUAUCUGCUUUUCUUAACUGCCCUCAAGGGUUACAAUAACUGGAUUAUUUUAUUGUUCUUAUCUAUUAAAGCUUUCCAGUGUACCAGACAAAAUACUUAACUAGCUCUCUGUUGGCAGCCCAAUACCAUCUCGCAUCGAUUGAACCAAAAGAUUCCUUUGCCUUAUCUUGUUCAGUGUAGACCAGAUUUCCUGCUGCUCACUGCUAAAAAUAUUUAGUGAUUUUACUUCCCAAGGAAGCUCUGAUUUCUGUUCAGUAGACUGUACUGGGUAUGGUCUAGGGAAAUUUUUUUUCUAUGUUUGUUGUUUUUAUCCUUUGUCUUCCAAUUCCCAUUCGUUCUGACAAGUUAAGUAUUAUUGGGACCUACAGUUGGACUCUCUCUUCCUUCACCUCCUCUUUCUUUUCGCAUCUAGCCUAGAAGUGUUUGCUGCCUACUUUAAAUAAAUAGUUAAUGUACAUUCUCCUCACAGGUCUCCUAAGCAUCUUUGAACAGCAGUUCUACCAGUGUCACUGUUCCACAUGCAUGCAAAAUCACUCAGAAAUCUGACUGUAAACCUGUAUUAGCAGCAGUUCCUAUCACAGCAGGAACAUCUUCACGCUGUGUUACCAGAGAAAGAACUAAGGAUAAAGACAGAUACGAAGCUAAUAUGUCUGAGAAGGUGAUAAAGCACUGCAAGGCAGCUCUAUUAAUAACUGCAUAUAUCUGAGUCAGAUAGAGGGAAAUAAGAGGGCCACAACUGUUACAGGAUACAUCCAACCUUUUUUCCCCUUACCUAACAAAUGAAGGAAUUACUAUGCCAUGAACUGACACAAUACGAAUAGGGGUAUUUCCUACUGAUACUUCAGUUGAGAACACUUUUCAUUAUCACCAACUUUAACAUACCAGCAAAAGAUCAACUCACUAUAAUUCUGAGUACUUUGGUCAUUAUAAACAAUAUACUGUUGCAAUAUACUUCAAUGGUAGGGACAAAAAACCUUGUACAUUCAAAGUGCAAUAUUUUCUAAAAAAGAUAUCAGAUGGCUGAUGAGAUUUGGGGUUGUUCUGAAGAAAAUGCUGUGCUGGAAAAUCCAAGACUAAAAGCUAAUGAUGAAUUUGUAAAGCACUCAAGAUCACCUACACAACACGGAAGAAGCCAAGAAAGGACAGAUAACAGAGCAAUUCUCAACUGACAGUUCGAAGAAUCAAUUUUUGUUUUUAUCUCACUUGCUAUGAAAUUAAUGAGGUUUUCAUAGUAUAGUAGUGCAAAGACCUACCAUCUGUGUAAAUUCCUGAACUCACUGAAUUUUCCUUUGUCUGGCACCUUCUGUACUGCCCAGCAGUGUUCCCACUUUGUUUAUACAUUUGACAGUCUAAGCGUAUUUUCUUUUCCAGGGCAGGCAGCCCUCAGUUCUAGCUGUCUACAUUGUGAAGCUGACUCCACACAAAUCAACACAUGCUUUAAACUUGUCCUCAUAGUGUCUCAGUUGUGUACUGAUCUCUCAUCUAUUCACCAUGAUUUACAACAAAACAAAGGGGUGUGGGGAGGAACAACAGGAGACACAGAUUCUAGCACUUUGCAGUAUACAUAUUCCAUAACAACUGAAACAGAUAACUUUACGGGCGUACCACUACAAUACUAUUUAACCAUACUCUUGAAUUUCAGUUUUUGAAAUCAACUUAUGCAAAUAUAUAAAUAUUUAAGGCCAGGAAAUAUGGAAAGGGAUGUAAUAAUACUCCAGUCAAAAUGCUGCAACUACACAGAGAAGCUGUAACAACAGAUUGCUUUGUAGAAAUUUACUUCUGUUUGAAGUUCAUUGAUUUUCAUUCCAGCCGUUUAUUUUGCUAAGCAGUAGUUUUGAGCACCUAUUGAUCAUCAUGUUCUGAUGUGGCAGGCUUCUGAGAAAAAAAGUUAAACUAACUAGAACUAAUGAGCAAUUAAACUUGCUCACACAAGUACAGUUGUGGUUUAAUGGUGGCAAGCACAUGACAUGAAGAACAAUGUGUCCAUUUUCUCA